UACGGGUGGCUGCAGUCGAGGAUCUUCGGCAAUGGGCGCAAGCCUGACCGAGCGACGCCGCGUGAAGGAUGAAGGCCUUCGGGUUGUAAACUUCUGUCGAGGGGGAUCAAGGGCAACUUGAGUGAUCCCUGGAGGAAGCACGGGCUAAGUUCGUGCCAGCAGCCGCGGUAAGACGAACCGUGCGAACGUUGUUCGGAAUCACUGGGCAUAAAGGGCGCGUAGGCGGCUUAUCAAGUCAGGGGUGAAAUCCGGCAGCUCAACUGUCGAAGUGCCUUUGAUACUGAUGAGCUCGAGGGAGGUAGGGGUAUGUGGAACUUCCGGUGGAGCGGUGAAAUGCGUUGAUAUCGGAAGGAACGCCGGUGGCGAAAGCGACGUACUGGACCUCUUCUGACGCUGAGGCGCGAAAGCUAGGGGAGCAAACGGGAUUAGAUACCCCGGUAGUCCUAGCCCUAAACGUUGGGUACUAGAUAGUGGACUUACAUGGGUUCACUGUCGAAGCAAAUGUGUUAAGUACCCCGCCUGGGGAG
rnacentral:rRNA from 1 species